GGGUUGUGAGGUUAAGCGACUAAGCGUACACGGUGGAUGCCCUGGCAGUCAGAGGCGAUGAAGGACGUGCUAAUCUGCGAUAAGCGCCGGUAAGGUGAUAUGAACCGUUAUAACCGGCGAUACCCGAAUGGGGAAACCCAGUGUGACUCGUCACACUAUCAUUAACUGAAUCCAUAGGUUAAUGAGGCGAACCGGGGGAACUGAAACAUCUAAGUACCCCGAGGAAAAGAAAUCAACCGAGAUUCCCCCAGUAGCGGCGAG
rnacentral:rRNA from 1 species